rnacentral:rRNA from 1 species
GACGAACCGUGCGAACGUUGUUCGGAAUCACUGGGCUUAAAGGGCGCGUAGGCGGGCAAUCAAGUCUGAGGUGAAAUCCUCCAGCUUAACUGGAGAAGUGCCCCGGAUACUGGUUGCCUCGAGGAUGGUAGGGGCAUCUGGAACUAGCGGUGGAGCGGUGAAAUGCGUUGAUAUCGCUAGGAACUCCGGUGGCGAAGGCGAGGUGCUGGACCAUUUCUGACGCUGAGGCGCGAAAGCCAGGGGAGCGAACGGG